rnacentral:rRNA from 1 species
GAGUUUGAUCCUGGCUCAGGACAAACGCUAGCGGCGUGCUUAACACAUGCAAGUCGAACGCUCUCUGGCAUUAGUCAGAGGGAGUGGCGGACGGGUGAGUAACACGUGGGUAACCUACCUCAAGGUGAGGAAUACCAACGAGAAAUCGUUGACAAUACCGCAUGAGCUUCUUCGGGAGCAAAGCUUCUCGUAUUGAGAGGCGCCUUGAGAUGGGCCUGCGCCUGAUUAUGCUAGUUGGUGGGGUAAAAGCCUACCAAGGCGACGAUCAGUAGCUGGUCUGAGAGGACGACCAGCCACACUGGGAUUGAGAACGGCCCAGACUCCUACGGGAGGCAGCAGUGAGGAAUUUUCCGCAAUGGACGAAAGUCUGACGGAGCAACGCCGCGUGCAGGACGAAGGUCUUCGGAUCGUAAACUGCUUUUAUCGAGGAAGAGAACGGACGGUACUCGAUGAAUAAGCCCCGGCUAACUACGUGCCAGCAGCCGCGGUAAUACGUAGGGGGCGAGCGUUGUCCGGAUUUAUUGGGCGUAAAGGGCCCGCAGGCGGUCCGCCAAGUUUGGGGUGAAAGCUCCUCGCUUAACGAGGAGAGAGCCGCAAAAACUGGUGGACUUGAGAGCGAGAGAGGGACAUGGAACUCCGGGUGAAGCAGUGAAAUGCGUAGAUAUCCGGAAGAACACCAAAGGCGAAGGCAGUGUCCUGGCUCGUAUCUGACGCUCAGGGGCGAAAGCCAGGGGAGCGAACGGGAUUAGAUACCCCGGUAGUCCUGGCCGUAAACGAUGACCACUCGACGCACGAAGAUUCGACCCUUUGUGUGUCUAAGCUAACGCGAUAAGUGGUCCGCCUGGGGAGUACGAUCGCAAGAUUAAAACUCAAAGGAAUUGACGGGGACCCGCACAAGCAGCGGAGCGUGUGGUU